rnacentral:rRNA from 1 species
GAUGAACGCUGGCGGCGUGCCUAAUACAUGCAAGUCGAGCGAACGGACGAGAAGCUUGCUUCUCUGAUGUUAGCGGCGGACGGGUGAGUAACACGUGGAUAACCUACCUAUAAGACUGGGAUAACUUCGGGAAACCGGAGCUAAUACCGGAUAAUAUUUUGAACCGCAUGGUUCAAAAGUGAAAGACGGUCUUGCUGUCACUUAUAGAUGGAUCCGCGCUGCAUUAGCUAGUUGGUAAGGUAACGGCUUACCAAGGCAACGAUGCAUAGCCGACCUGAGAGGGUGAUCGGCCACACUGGAACUGAGACACGGUCCAGACUCCUACGGGAGGCAGCAGUAGGGAAUCUUCCGCAAUGGGCGAAAGCCUGACGGAGCAACGCCGCGUGAGUGAUGAAGGUCUUCGGAUCGUAAAGCUCUGUUAUUAGGGAAGAACAUAUGUGUAAGUAACUGUGCACAUCUUGACGGUACCUAAUCAGAAAGCCACGGCUAACUACGUGCCAGCAGCCGCGGUAAUACGUAGGUGGCAAGCGUUAUCCGGAAUUAUUGGGCGUAAAGCGCGCGUAGGCGGUUUUUUAAGUCUGAUGUGAAAGCCCACGGCUCAACCGUGGAGGGUCAUUGGAAACUGGAAAACUUGAGUGCAGAAGAGGAAAGUGGAAUUCCAUGUGUAGCGGUGAAAUGCGCAGAGAUAUGGAGGAACACCAGUGGCGAAGGCGACUUUCUGGUCUGUAACUGACGCUGAUGUGCGAAAGCGUGGGGAUCAAACAGGAUUAGAUACCCUGGUAGUCCACGCCGUAAACGAUGAGUGCUAAGUGUUAGGGGGUUUCCGCCCCUUAGUGCUGCAGCUAACGCAUUAAGCACUCCGCCUGGGGAGUACGACCGCAAGGUUGAAACUCAAAGGAAUUGACGGGGACCCGCACAAGCGGUGGAGCAUGUGGUUUAAUUCGAAGCAACGCGAAGAACCUUACCAAAUCUUGACAUCCUUUGACAACUCUAGAGAUAGAGCCUUCCCCUUCGGGGGACAAAGUGACAGGUGGUGCAUGGUUGUCGUCAGCUCGUGUCGUGAGAUGUUGGGUUAAGUCCCGCAACGAGCGCAACCCUUAAGCUUAGUUGCCAUCAUUAAGUUGGGCACUCUAAGUUGACUGCCGGUGACAAACUGGAGGAAGGUGGGGAUGACGUCAAAUCAUCAUGCCCCUUAUGAUUUGGGCUACACACGUGCUACAAUGGACAAUACAAAGGGCAGCGAAACCGCGAGGUCAAGCAAAUCCCAUAAAGUUGUUCUCAGUUCGGAUUGUAGUCUGCAACUCGACUACAUGAAGCUGGAAUCGCUAGUAAUCGUAGAUCAGCAUGCUACGGUGAAUACGUUCCCGGGUCU